CCUACGUGUGACAGCAGUGGGGAAUAUUGCACAAUGGGGGAAACCCUGAUGCAGCGAAGCCGCGGGAGUGAAGAAGUAUUUCGGUAUGUAAAGCUCUAUCAGCAGGGCAGAAACCCACCCUCCGGGGUGGCUGACGGUACCUGACUACGAAGCCCCGGCUAACUACGUGCCAGCAGCCGCGGUAAUACGUAGGGGGCAAGCGUUAUCCGGAUUUACUGGGUGGAAAGGGGGCGUAGGUGGCAAGGCAAGUCAGAGGUGAAAACCCGGGGCCCAACCCCGGGAGUGCAUUUGAAACUGUCUGGCUAGAGUGCAGGAGAGGUAAGUGGAAUUCCUAGUGUAGCGGUGAAAUGCAUAGAUAUGAGGAGGAACACCAGUGGCGAAGGCGGCUUACUGGACUGUAACUGACACUGAGGCUCGAAAGCGUGGGGAGCAAACAGGAUUAGAUACCCUUGUAGUC
rnacentral:rRNA from 1 species